rnacentral:rRNA from 1 species
CCUAUUAUUAAGAAGAGAAAAUUGUAAGUAAAUAUAAAUUACGAAAGCAAAAAAUUAUGGCGGUAUCUUAAGCUUUUCAGAGGAAUUUGCUCUUUAAUGGAUAAAACACCUAAAUCUUACUUAAACUAGUUCUUAAUCAGUUUGUAUACCACUAUGAAAAUAAUAAUUUACUUUUAUUAUUUAUUUUCUUUUAAAGAAAAAAAUUAAGUCAAGGUGCAGCUAAAGUUUAAGAUUGAAGUGAAUUACAUUUCUUAAAAGAGAAAAAAAUGAAAUAGAGUAUU